rnacentral:tRNA from 1 species
GAGAAUAUAGCUCAGUUGGGAGAGCUUGCCUGUCAAGUAAGAAAUAAUGAGGCUAAAUACAUAGUACUUAACUUUAGCUAUAACCAUUAUUUGCGCAGGUUCGAAUCCUGCUAUUCUCU